GAUGAACGCUGGCGGCGUGCUUAACACAUGCAAGUCGAGGGGCAGCAUGAUUGAAGCUUGCUUCAAUCGAUGGCGACCGGCGCACGGGUGAGUAACACGUAUCCAACCUGCCGAUAACUCGGGGAUAGCCUUUCGAAAGAAAGAUUAAUACCCGAUAGCAUAGUAUUUCCGCAUGGUUUCACUAUUAAAGAACUUCGGUUAUCGAUGGGGAUGCGUUCCAUUAGAUAGUUGGCGGGGUAACGGCCCACCAAGUCAACGAUGGAUAGGGGUUCUGAGAGGAAGGUCCCCCACAUUGGAACUGGGACACGGUCCAA
rnacentral:rRNA from 1 species